rnacentral:rRNA from 1 species
GGAAUCUUCCACAAUGGACGAAAGUCUGAUGGAGCAACGCCGCGUGAGUGAAGAAGGUUUUCGGAUCGUAAAACUCUGUUGUAAGGGAAGAACAAGUACAGUAGUAACUGGCUGUACCUUGACGGUACCUUAUUAGAAAGCCACGGCUAACUACGUGCCAGCAGCCGCGGUAAUACGUAGGUGGCAAGCGUUGUCCGGAAUUAUUGGGCGUAAAGCGCGCGCAGGCGGUCCUUUAAGUCUGAUGUGAAAUCACGUGGCUCAACCACGUGCGGUCAUUGGAAACUGGAGGACUUGAGUGCAGAAGAGGAAAGUGGAAUUCCAAGUGUAGCGGUGAAAUGCGUAGAGAUUUGGAGGAACACCAGUGGCGAAGGCGACUUUCUGGUCUGUAACUGACGCUGAGGCGCGAAAGCGUGGGGAGCAAACA